rnacentral:lncRNA from 1 species
GGUGGGGGCGUGAGCAUGUACCACGCCCACUUUGCGUGCUGGGGCAACACCUCCAGUGAACUGAGGGAUAGUGGAGUCGGACAGCUCUGUCUAUUUGGAGUAAAAUCCGGUUCUUAGCUGUGUGGUCCAUGUGGUCUCCGGACCUAGGCUUUCUGAUUCACCCUGAGUCUCUCUUACUCAAAAAGUAUGUUUUGAGUCCCUUUGCCCCAUGGGAAAUCUGAAAGGAAGGUGUCAGAUGACUCCUCCCCUCCUCAAAAUAAACUCCUCUGUCCUCCCUUCUCAGAUUAGGGCUCUUAAAACGUGAACUGGGGCUUUCCUGUCCCCUCAAGCUCCUCCUGGACUAGUAGCUGGCACCUACAGGAUCUGUCUCUCCUGCUGCAGGAAACCCGGCUCCUGGCCGGCAGCGCUAGCUUUAUUUUUACCUGGUGUGAGUCAUGCUCUCUGUCCUCUAGGGAACAGGUUAAAUGAGUAACACUGUUAGAUCCCUCCCCGCAUUCCCACGGUGGGAAGGACUAGGCUGAGGUUCAAAUCCAGAGCCCUCCUUUGCUGCCUUAGAGAACAUGUGGAGGGGUAUAGCAAGAGGAAAAUCAGCGCUGGAAAGAGAGAUUUGGAGCCUGCAUCUUUUAUUCCAAAACGAAGGUAAAGUGGGAUUAGAGGAAGAAGCCUGUGUUAGGGGUCAGAGGCUAACCCACAGAGAAAGGAUACAGCCCUCUGAGAGAAAGGUCAGGGUCAGCCUGCUGGUUCCAGAAGGGUUAAGUCACCAGCCUUCCCUCCCCACAACUCCUCCCAUCCAGGACCCAGCAUUGACAGCUGAGGCCAUGUGAGUCUGAUCCUGAAUGAGGCUUUAUCCGACUGUCCUCUGUCCCAUCAUCCACUGUGGCACCAGCUCCCUCGGACUG